CACUGUUAAAAAAAAUCGGUGUAUUGACAGUUAAAUGAUUAUUAUUAUUUUAACGGAAAUUUUACAUACAACGUGUUACGGGUGUUUUUCCGUUUAUAUACAUUUUCGAAUUGCAUUAUGGGACCGUGAUCGCGGCUCCGAACUUUUGAUGGUCAUGGACGAAUAAGCACAGCCAUAACACAACAUUUUACCCAAGUUUUUCCACUGGUACAGUAUAUCACGAGGCUGCAGGAGAGAGCUGCACCGCCACUGGAGUCGCAAGCCGAACAGGUGGUCAAGCACAUCUGACGAGGAGGAGGCGAGGACGUCACCACCUACUGCAGUGUCACAGCUCCCAGGUUUUGGGGUGCGUUUGAGGACCUGUUUCCGGUCACCCUUCACGGAAGCUUCCGACGAAGGAGGCGGGAGCAGGGUCAGGCUUCGAGGACUGAAGUUAUUGCCAUUACUGGAGCGGAUACAGCACAGGCAGCGCGUGCAGUAUAUUCUUGAGCAGUCCACAGACCGGACCGGCCAAUACCCCCCGGCAUCACGUGUUCGGCGUGCCCUCGAGAGGGAGAACGCCUGGACCACCAACCUGGCGUCUGUGGAAAGUGUUCUUCAGGCGUGGGUGCCCUGCCAGGAACCGUCCCCUGUCUCUGAUGACCCUCUUGUUAUAUCUUCGUCCUUCAGAAGUGGAAAGGCCUCUCCAUAAAGCACUUUGAGGGGAAA